CGGGUGAGUAACACGUGGGCAACUGCCCUGUAGACUGGGAUAACAUCGAGAAAUCGGUGCUAAUACCGGAUAAUAUCUGAGACCUCAUGGUCUUAGACUAAAAGAUGGCUCCGGCUAUCACUACAGGAUGGGCCCGCGGCGCAUUAGCUAGUUGGUAAGGUAAUGGCUUACCAAGGCGACGAUGCGUAGCCGACCUGAGAGGGUGAUCGGCCACACUGGGACUGAGACACGGCCCAGACUCCUACGGGAGGCAGCAGUAGGGAAUCUUCCGCAAUGGACGAAAGUCUGACGGAGCAACGCCGCGUGAGUGAUGAAGGAUUUCGGUUCGUAAAGCUCUGUUGUUAGGGAAGAACAAGUAUCGUUCGAAUAGGGCGGUACCUUGACGGUACCUAACCAGAAAGCCACGGCUAACUACGUGCCAGCAGCCGCGGUAAUACGUAGGUGGCAAGCGUUGUCCGGAAUUAUUGGGCGUAAAGCGCGCGCAGGCGGUCUUUUAAGUCUGAUGUGAAAGCCCACGGCUCAACCGUGGAGGGUCAUUGGAAACUGGGAGACUUGAGUACAGAAGAGGAGAGUGGAAUUCCACGUGUAGCGGUGAAAUGCGUAGAUAUGUGGAGGAACACCAGUGGCGAAGGCGACUCUCUGGUCUGUAACUGGACGCUGAAGGGCGCGAAAGCGUGGGGWGCAAACAGGAUUAGAUACCUCUGGGUAGUCCACGCCGUAAACGAUGAGUGCUAGGUGUUAGGAAGUUUCGAUGCCCUUAGUGCCGAAGUUAACACAUUAAGCACUCCGCCUGGGGAGUACGACCGCAAGGGUUGAAACUCAAAGGAAUUGACGGGGGCCCGCACAAGCAGUGGAGCAUGUGGUUUAAUUCGAAACAACCCCAAAAAACCUUACCAGGUCUUGACAUCCUUUGACCAUCCUAAAAAUUAGGCUUUCCCCUUCGGGGAACAAAGUGACAGGUGGUGCAUGGUUGUCGUCAGCUCGUGUCGUGAGAUGUUGGGUUAAGUCCCGCAACGAGCGCAACCCUUGAUCUUAGUUGCCAGCAUUUAGUUGGGCACUCUAAGAGUGACUGCCGGUGACAAACCGGAGGUUGGUGGGGAUGACGUCAAAUCAUCAUGCCCCCUUAUGACCUGGGCUACACACGUGCUACAAUGGAUGGUACAAAGAGCAGCAAAACCGCGAGGUCGAGCCAAUCUCAUAAAGCCAUUCUCAGUUCGGAUUGUAGGCUGCAACUCGCCUACAUGAAGCCGGAAUUGCUAGUAAUCGCGGAUCAGCAUGCCGCGGGUGAAUACGUUCCCGGGCCUUG
rnacentral:rRNA from 2 species